rnacentral:rRNA from 1 species
AGUGAACGCUGGCGGUAGGCCUAACACAUGCAAGUCGAACGGCAGCACAGUAAGAGCUUGCUCUUACGGGUGGCGAGUGGCGGACGGGUGAGGAAUACAUCGGAAUCUACUUUUUCGUGGGGGAUAACGUAGGGAAACUUACGCUAAUACCGCAUACGACCUACGGGUGAAAGCAGGGGAUCUUCGGACCUUGCGCGAUUGAAUGAGCCGAUGUCGGAUUAGCUAGUUGGCGGGGUAAAGGCCCACCAAGGCGACGAUCCGUAGCUGGUCUGAGAGGAUGAUCAGCCACACUGGAACUGAGGCACGGUCCAGACUCCUACGGGAGGCAGCAGUGGGGAAUAUUGGACAAAGGGCGCAAGCCUGAUCCAGCCAUACCGCGUGGGUGAAGAAGGCCUUCGGGUUGUAAAGCCCUUUUGUUGGGAAAGAAAAGCAGCAGGUUAAUACCCCGCUGUUCUGACGGUACCCAAAGAAUAAGCACCGACUAACUUCGUG